rnacentral:ncRNA from 2 species
AAGUAGACAUCCUGAUAUCCUCGUAUAUACUCGAUAAUAUGGUUCGAGAGUCUCUACCCGGCGCCGUAAAUGACCGGACUACGAGGGAACACCGGUUUUCU